rnacentral:rRNA from 1 species
AAGGCAGCAGUGGGGAAUAUUGCACAAUGGGCGCAAGCCUGAUGCAGCCAUGCCGCGUGUAUGAAGAAGGCCUUCGGGUUGUAAAGUACUUUCAGUCGUGAGGAAGGUGUUAAGGUUAAUAACCUUAGCAAUUGACGUUAGCGACAGAAGAAGCACCGGCUAACUCCGUGCCAGCAGCCGCGGUAAUACGGAGGGUGCGAGCGUUAAUCGGAAUUACUGGGCGUAAAGGGCACGCAGGCGGUUAAUUAAGUUGGAUGUGAAAUCCCCGGGCUUAACCUGGGAAUGGCAUUCAAGACUGGUUAGCUAGAGUCUUGUAGAGGGGGUAGAAUUCCAUGUGUAGCGGUGAAAUGCGUAGAGAUGUGGAGGAAUACCGGUGGCGAAGGCGGCCCCUGGGACAAAGACUGACGCUCAUGUGCGAAAGCGUGGGGAGCAAACAGGAUUAGGAUACC